ensembl:sense_overlapping Gm26618 predicted gene, 26618
GUCCAGGGUUGUAGAGUGGCGCUGCGACUGAGGCUCGGCGCAGAGUUGGGGGCUGUGCCCCUGCAGCCUCCCCAGUGCAGGAUUAUAGCUGCGGAUUCUGCAGAAAGGGGCAGCGCCUGCGCCUGCACUUCGCAGCCUCCGCCCUCCUUGCUCCACUUGGCGAGGGGAGCAUCACUGCUCACAAGCUAGCUUCCGCAGCAGGUGCACUUGGUCUGAUUCCCUUUACUGCUCUGCGCUGCCUGGACCACAAGACAUUUUCCUGAAGGAAAUGUAGGUCCCAGUUGCUGGAGUUGGCUUAAAGGAUGCUUAAGGACAUAGAACAAUUGAGACAAGAUCUUGUGCAUAAACUGAAAGCUACCGUCUCCACUGAUGAUAAGAUUUUUGGUUUCUUACCUGCUGUCAGAAGAAACCAACCCUCAGGACUAGCCUAAGACCAGGCUCCUAUAAUUGUUAAACUACCUCUGUCCAGAUUAAAGAAGACCCAGAGACCCUGGUAA